UACGGGGGGGGCAAGCGUUGUUCGGAAUUACUGGGCGUAAAGGGCUCGUAGGCGGCCAACUAAGUCAGACGUGAAAUCCCUCGGCUUAACCGGGGAACUGCGUCUGAUACUGGAUGGCUUGAGUUCGGGAGAGGGAUGCGGAAUUCCAGGUGUAGCGGUGAAAUGCGUAGAUAUCUGGAAGAACACCGGUGGCGAAGGCGGCCUGCUGGGCAGUAGCUGACGCUGAGGCGCGACAGCGUGGGGAGCAACAGG
rnacentral:rRNA from 1 species